UUUAGCGAUAGAAGUAUGAGUGAUUCUAGUCACACCUCCACAUUUGUUAUAUGUGCACCUUCUUUCAUUUUUGAAUAAUUUUAUUUUCCAAUUUAUCUCUCUAGAUCUGCAGUUGUUGCAUGGGUCAUGUCUUACAUCUUCUCUCCUCCAUAUACUUUCCUAGUUUGUUUCAUAACUGCUACUUUAUCAUCAUGGUGUUAGGUCACAUUUAGGCCGGUAGGCAGGAAAUCAUGGUAUGGAAAAGGAAUUGAUUUGAUUUGAUUUUCCAUUCCAAAGGGGCUGAUUGGUUGUAAAUAGAGACCGGAAAAGAAAGGAAAAAAGUAAUCUGACUGGAAAUUGACUCCCUCAUAAAGUCUGAUUUCAAUUACCUAGAUAUGGGUUCUAUUUCCAUUUCCCACAGUCAAAGCCAAAAUUACAUAAAUUAUCCCUCUAAUAAAUUAUAGAUUCUCCCGCUCACAAAAUUCUUUUGGGCUCAUCUUUCCCGCUAUUGUAUCAGUAUAUAACUUUUACUAAAACACUUUUUCUUCCUACAACUAUCGCCAUCUUUUAGCAAUAGAGAAUUGUUCGAUCGCGAGGUCUUCUCCUAACAAAGGUACUUCUUCCGAGUUCUUUUUUUCAAUCUCUCUCUCUCUCUCUCUCUCUCUCUCUCUCUCUCUUCCUCUCUUACUCCUCUCUCUCUCUCUCUCUCUCUCUCUCUCUCUCUCUCUCUCUCUCUCUCUCUCUCUCUCUCUCUCUCUCGUGCUAUUGAAAGAAGGAGAUGGUACUCAAAUAAUAGGAUCAUCGAUCUUCUUCUUCAAAUCUGGGCAAACAAGAGUUCGAUGUUUUCUUUUAAGAUCGAUUAUAUAUCUAUUUUUUCUGUAUAUUUUUGAUCGAUUUCAUGGAAUUUUGGUAUUGGAAUGA
rnacentral:lncRNA from 1 species